rnacentral:tRNA from 1 species
ACCCGUCUAGCUCGUCGGUAGAGCGCUGGCCUUUUAAGCCAGUGGUCGUGGGUUCGAUCCCCACGGGGGGUG